rnacentral:rRNA from 1 species
AUUGAACGCUGGCGGAAUGCUUUACACAUGCAAGUCGAACGGCAGCACGGGUGCUUGCACCUGGUGGCGAGUGGCGAACGGGUGAGUAAUGCACCGGAACGUAUCCAAUAAUGGGGGAUAACGCACCGAAAGGUGUGCUAAUACCGCAUACGCCCUGAGGGGGAAAGCGGGGGAUGUAACCCCCGACUCGCGUUAAUGGAGCGGCCGAUGCCGGAUUAGCUAGUUGGUGAGGUAAAGGCUCACCAAGGCGACGAUCCGUAGCUGGUCUGAGAGGACGACCAGCCACACUGGAACUGAGACACGGUCCAGACUCCUACGGGAGGCAGCAGUGGGGAAUUUUGGACAAUGGGCGCAAGCCUGAUCCAGCCAUUCCGCGUGAGUGAAGAAGGCCUCGGUUGUAAGU